rnacentral:rRNA from 1 species
AGCGCAGGUGGUUGUAUAAGUCUGAAGUAAAAGGCAGUGGCUCAACCAUUGUGUGCUUUGGAAACUGUACAACUUGAGUGUAGAAGGGGAGAGUGGAAUUCCAUGUGUAGCGGUGAAAUGCGUAGAUAUAUGGAGGAACACCGGUGGCGAAAGCGGCUCUCUGGUCUGUAACUGACACUGAGGCUCGAAAGCGUGGGAGCAAACA